CUGCUCACCACAACAGGUUUUCUGCACAGAUUAAAAAAGUAGCAGCGAACCUAAUCAUCUUCAACAAUUUUAACAAAAGACAAAAGCCAGCCAUGUCUGAGGC